rnacentral:misc_RNA from 1 species
ACAGUAGGAUCAUGGGGCCUGUGUGAUUGCCAAAAAGAUCGUAAGGUCUCAUACACUGAAAAGCUGAUAGCUAUACUGGGCCCAACACCCAAAAGUGUUGUUCCCAGUCCCUUGUAGAGUCCCAAAACACCCUCCUCUCUGCUAAUUGUUCGUAAUGCAUGCAAUAUACCUCUGUAAUAGAUCACAUUUGUCUGAGCCGCAAGGCGUGUUCUUACAAGAUCCAAUGGAUAUGUAACAGAUGCUGCUGUUAUUCCAGCCAUACCACCACCUACAAAAUGAACAAAGACAUCUCCACCCACACUUUUCCUGUGGCUUUCUAGUCCAGGUACCAUAUGUAGUAACUUUUUAUAGUGUUCAUAUGAAUAAAAAUUGAAAGAUGAGUAAGGCAACCGAUGAGCAAUUGUGACAAGAUUCCCCUUCCAGAAAGCUCUAAAUCCUUCCUCCCUAAAUAUUCGAGAAGCCUCAUGCCAUAUGCUAGCCUUUCUCAAUGUUGCAACAUCAGAGUGCAUUCCUUGCACCUGAAAAAGUAUGGUGAGGCGAGCAAGGGGUGCAGUGCAAGUCUUGCUAAGAGCACCGGCC